AGCACCCGAUCACACCUCCGCAGC
rnacentral:siRNA from 1 species